rnacentral:rRNA from 1 species
UACAGAGGGUGCAAGCGUUAAUCGGAAUUACUGGGCGUAAAGGGCGCGUAGGUGGUCUUGUAAGUGAGAUGUGAAAUCCCUGGGCUUAACCUAGGAAUUGCAUCUUAUACUGUCGAACUGGAGUGCUGUAGAGGGUAGUGGAAUUUCCGGUGUAGCGGUGAAAUGCGUAGAUAUCGGAAGGAACACCAGUGGCGAAGGCGGCUACCUGGCUUGAUACUGACACUGAGGCGCGAGAGCGUGGGGAGCAAACAGG